AGAGUUUGAUCAUGGCUCAGAUUGAACGCUGGCGGCGUGCCUAACACAUGCAAGUCGAGCGGUAACAGGUGUAGCAAUACAUGCUGACGAGCGGCGAACGGGUGAGUAAUGCUUUGGAAUCUUCCCAGUAGUGGGGAAUAACCAGUCGAAAGAUUGGCUAAUACCGCAUACGUCGGAAACGGGAAAGCGGGGGAUCGUAAGACCUCGCGCUAUUGGAUGAGCCAAAGUCGGAUUAGCUAGUUGGUGAGGUAGCGGCUCACCAAGGCGACAAUCCGUAGCUGGUCUGAGAGGACGACCAGCCACACCGGAACUGAGACACGGUCCGGACUCCUACGGGAGGCAGCAGUGGGGAAUAUUGGACAAUGGGGGAAACCCUGAUCCAGCGACGCCGCGUGUGUGAAGAAGGCCUGCGGGUUGUAAAGCACUUUUAGUGGGGACAAAAAGUCACGGGCUAACACCUUGUGAUCUUGAUUUAACUCACAGAAAAAGCACCGGCUAACUCUGUGCCAGCAGCCGCGGUAAUACAGAGGGUGCGAGCGUUAAUCGGAAUUACUGGGCGUAAAGCGCGCGUAGACGGUUUUGUAAGUCAGGUGUGAAAUCCCCGGGCUCAACCUGGGAACUGCAUUUGAAACUGCAUGGCUAGAGUAUCGAAGAGGGAAGUGGAAUUUCCGGUGUAGCGGUGAAAUGCGUAGAUAUCGGAAGGAACACCAGUGGCGAAAGCGACUUCCUGGUCGAAUACUGACGUUCAUGUGCGAAAGCGUGGGGAGCAAACAGGAUUAGAUACCCUAGUAGUCC
rnacentral:rRNA from 1 species